rnacentral:rRNA from 1 species
GUAGGGUACGAGCGUUGUCCGGAAUUAUUGGGCGUAAAGAGCUCUUAGGUGGUUGGUCACGUCUGCUGUGGAAACGCAACGCUUAACGUUGCGCGUGCAGUGGGUACGGGCUGACUAGAGUGCAGUAGGGGAGUCUGGAAUUCCUGGUGUAGCGGUGAAAUGCGCAGAUAUCAGGAGGAACACCGGUGGCGAAGGCGGGACUCUGGGCUGUAACUGACACUGAGGAGCGAAAGCAUGGGGAGCGAACAGGAUUAGAUACCCUGGUAGUCCAUGCCGUAAACGUUGGGCACUAGGUGUGGGGGGCAUUCCACGUUCUCCGCGCCGUAGCUAACGCAUUAAGUGCCCCGCCUGGGGAGUACGGUCGCAAGGCUA